AUCGCUUCUCGGCCUUUUGGCUAAGAUCAAGUGUAGAGAUCCUACCUGAGAGUAGAACAAGGUAAAGAAAGAAAGGUGGGAGAGAGAAAGAUUACUUUUGGAGAUGCCACUGUAUCCAGCUGGGAUUAAUAAAUGAUACAGACAUUUUUUUCCUAACAUAGACAGGGAAAAAGAAAAGCAUG
rfam:Mustela putorius furo unplaced genomic scaffold scaffold00233, whole genome shotgun sequence.